ensembl:lincRNA
GGAAUGACUAUGGCAUUAAAUUCAUCGUUGCUUUCCACCUAUACAGUUCACCUACACUGCUCUGGCCCAACCCUCUGUUGCUCCAGUGGAGGUUAAUUUUGAACAUAGAGCCCACUUUUGUGUUCUUCAAGGACAAGAUGAUCUGAAACGGUUGAAGCAGAUGCCACUGCGGCCGGGAAGGAUGUCUUUGAUCUGUCAGUUCCCGCACAAGUGUUUCCACAGCAUGUGGCUGAGGAGCCCAGGCAGGCACAGAAACCGUGGUUCUCAUUUUUCUCAGGAGGAGGAAACGCUUCAUUUUUAUUCUUCAGACAAAAAGAAAGGAACAGAAAACCACCCAGUUCUUCACUCACUAACCAGCAUCACAGAUAUCUGCCGGAAAAAUGGGGUUCUGAGUCCCUCUCAACUAUCUCGAGACAAGCAGAGAGCUAUUGAGGGCUUUUUUCAAAAAUAUAUUUUCUAGAGCAAAACUUGAAAACUUCAGGUUAGGUAGUACUCAUUAGGCAUGAGAUUCGAUCAUUAGCUAUUAGAAAGUUUAGAUAAAGUUGAUAAGGAAAUCCACUGUAUUUUUAUUUGUCUUCCACAGUGCUAGAGUAGAAUAACUUGGGAUUUAGUUGAGAAGAUCCGGGCACCAUUAGCGUGAUCUUCCAAAGUGCACUGUACCACUUGCUCAACUACAUGAGUGUUGGAAAUCUGUUGGCUUCUCUGAGCUUUGAGCUCUCCAUUUAUCAAGUAAGUGGUUGUGUUAACAUCUGCCACGGAUGUUAACGUGUGUUGUGAGGACUGAAAGGAGUAAUGUAUGUAGAAGUGGUAGCCUUUGUUCUUGUGCGAAAAGUAUGCCAGGAGCCACCAGCAAAGACAACCCUUGAGAUGCUCCUCCAUUAGUAAUGGCGGAGGGUGCCCAGUGGAGCACAGUUAUGUGGCCA